AUUGAACGCUGGCGGCAGGCCUAACACAUGCAAGUCGAACGAGUGGCGGACGGGUGAGUAAUGUCUGGGAAACUGCCUGAUGGAGGGGGAUAACUACUGGAAACGGUAGCUAAUACCGCAUACCAACGGAUGUGCCCAAAUGGGAUUAUCUAGUAGGUGGGGUACGGGCUAACCUAGGCGACGAUCCCUAGCUGGUCUGAGAGGAUGACCAGCCACCCUGGAACUGAGACACGUUCCAGAGUCCUACGGGAGGCAGCAGUGGGGAAUAUUUCACAAUGGGCGCAAGCCUGAUGCAGCCAUGCCGCGUGUAUGAAGAAGGCCUUCGGGUUGUAAAGUACUUUCAGCGGGGAGGCGUUACCCGCAGAAGAAGCACCGGCUAACGCCGUGCCAGCAGCCGCGGUAAUAC
rnacentral:rRNA from 1 species